CAAUUCUUGUUUAUAGUUCAAUUCUUGUCAUUUUCCCUCUUUUUGUUCCUCAGAUAUAUUUUUUAAAUUAACAUCAUAUUUAUUUCCAUUUAUUUCAUUUUGGGAGCAGGCAUGAAGGCCAGGUUAUGUUAGGUUACCUUAUAUUUAGUUUAAUUAGGUCAGAUCAGGUUGGGUUACAUUUAAUUUGAUUAGGGUAGUUAGUUUUAAUUGUGUUCAAUGAAUGUGUAAUAUGCUUCAGUUAUAUAAUGUGUACUCGCCAUUGCCAAUGGAGCUUGGGAAUAAUAACACAUGACUUAGUCAUUCACAUGUUUUCAUUGGAUUAACCUGCAGUUUGAGUAUUACAGCUUGAUGUAGCACGUAACAGCUGAUACAGCACAACAAAUAAGUAAUUACUGAGAAAUCAUCUAUACAGGAAGGUAGUUGGUGUGGAAGAGAAGUGGCUGCUAACUCUGCCCUGUGCACGGGGGGUGGUGACUGGUGCCACAAAGAGAUGCUCAGAAAUGUAAAUCAAGUAGUUGUGCAUUACAGGUGCCCAGUUUGUGAAAGACGGUGACUGUAUGAUGCUGUAUGCUGUAUUGGGCUGGAGGCUGCCUGUCACUGUAUGCUGUAUGCUGUAUUGGGCUGGAGGCUGCCUGUCACUAUGCUGUAUUGGGCUGGAGGCUGCCUGUCACUGUAUGCUGUAUGCUGUAUUGGGCUGGAGGCUGCCUGUCACUAUGCUGUAUGCUGUAUUGGGCUGGAGGCUGCCUGUCACUGUAUGCUGUAUGCUGUAUUGGGCUGGAGGCUGCCUGUCACUGUAUGCUGUAUGCUGUAUUGGGCUGGAGGCUGCCUGUCACUGUAUGCUGUAUUGGAAGGUGACUGUAUGAUGCUGUAUGCUGUAUUGGACUGUAGGCUGCCUGUCACUAUGCUGUAUGCUGUAUCAGAAGGUGGCUGUAUUAAAGGCAAUGUGUGGUAAUGUAUGAUUCAUGUAUUACUUAAUGAUACAGGAAUACAUAUGAUUUCCCUUGCCUUAAAAAUACUACUACUACUACAGCUACUACUACUAUUACUACUAUUACAACUUUAAACAAUGGAAGUGGCUUAACAUAAUCUCUUGCACUCAGAAUAUAUUUAAUUAUUUAUAUAUGACAAUGGUUAACUGACUGACUGACUGACUGAAUGGGUGGCUGACUGACUGACUGACUGACUGAAUGGGUGGCUGGGUGGGUAAAAGAGAGAGAGAGAGAGAGAGAGAGAGAGAGAGAGAGAGAGAGAGAGACAGAGAGAGAGAGAGAGAGAGAGAGAGAGAGAGAGAGAGAGAGAGAGAGAGAGAGAGAGAGAGAGAGAGAGAGAAUUCUGGGAAACAUUAUAAUUAGAAUGAGAGAGAGAGAGAGAGAGAGAGAGAGAGAGAGAGAGAGAGAGAGAGAGAGA